rnacentral:rRNA from 1 species
UACAGAGGUGGCAAGCGUUGUUCGGAAUUACUGGGCGUAAAGGGCUCGUAGGUGGCCAACUAAGUCGGACGUGAAAUCCCUCGGCUUAACCGGGGAACUGCGUCCGAUACUGGUUGGCUUGAGUUUGGGAGAGGGAUGCGGAAUUCCAGGUGUAGCGGUGAAAUGCGUAGAUAUCUGGAGGAACACCGGUGGCGAAGGCGGCAUCCUGGACCAAUACUGACGCUGAGGAGCGAAAGCCAGGGGAGCAAACGGG